rnacentral:lncRNA from 1 species
UGACUCCAAGUGCUACUGCAGCUCCACUCUCGCAGCCUCAGCCCUCUCCCCGUCAGCAGGUUUCUAGGCAGCAACUUCCACCCCCACCUCCCCUUCCACCUCCACCACCUCUAUCCAACCCGCCUCUGGCCAAGGAGCGUGUUGCCCAUCUGCCACCGCCACCUCCACUAAUUCCAGAGAAACAUGACCCUCCAAUUGUUACUCUAGAUGAUCUCUUUCGGAAAACCAAAGCAACUCCCCGGAUCUACUAUCUUCCGUUGUC